GAUGAACGCUGGCGGCGUGCCUAAUACAUGCAAGUCGAGCGAACAGAUGAGGAGCUUGCUCCUCUGACGUUAAAGGCGGACGGGUGAGUAACACGUGGAUAACCUACCUAUAAGACUGGGAUAACUUCGGGAAACCGGAGCUAAUACCGGAUAAUAUAUUGAACCGCAUGGUUCAAUAGUGAAAGACGGUUUUGCUGUCACUUAUAGAUGGAUCCGCGGCGCAUUAGCUAGUUGGUAAGGUAACGGCUUACCAAGGCAACGAUGCGUAGCCGACCUGAGAGGGGGAUCGCCCCCACUGGGACUGAGACACGGUCCAGACUCCUACGGGAGGCAGCAGUAGGGAAUCUUCCGCGAUGGGCGAAAGCCUGACGGAGCAACGCCGCGUGAGUGAUGAAGGUCUUCGGAUCGUAAAACUCUGUUAUGAUGGAAGAACAAAUGUGUAAGUAACUAUGCUCGUCGUGACGGUACCUGAUCAGAAAGCCACGGCUAACUACGUG
rnacentral:rRNA from 1 species